GACGAACGCUGGCGGCGUGCUUAACACAUGCAAGUCGAACGGGCGGGCCUUCUUUUUUGGGGGGGUGGGAGAGGGGACGGGGGGUGAAUACCAUGUGAAUCACCCCCUCGCCUUUGGUGGACAUCCGGUAAACUGGGCGAAUAACAGGGGGGGGGCCCUUGGUGCCGGGUGGGGUUGGGAAGGUUGGGCGGUUGGGGAUGGGGUUUCGGCGUGUUCGGGUGUUUGGGGGGUUGUGGCUUUCCAAGGGUUUGUGGGGGAGCCGGCCUGAGAGGGGGACCGGGCACAUUGGGACUGAGAUACGGCCCGGACUCCUACGGGGGGCUGCAGUGGGGAAUGUUGCACGAUGGGCGGAAGCCUGAUGCAGCAACGCCGCGUGCGGGAUGACGGCCUUCGGGUUGUAAACCGCUUUCGCCUGUGACGAAGCGUGAGUGACGGUAAUGGGUAAAGAAGCACCGGCUAACUACGUG
rnacentral:rRNA from 1 species